GCCAGGAAAGGGUGGCGUCUCUAUCCGCCCACUACCUCCCCCUCCCCUGGGAGCAUGCGGGCUCAGCAGAGCUCGCGGCAGGAGUCCGCGCGGGUCUCCUCGCGUGCAGCGCCUCCAGCAGCCACGCUCUUGGCCACAACCGCAGCGUUGGAACUGCGCGAGGGGGGAUGAGGGGUCCAACCUAGGAAGCAGCGCCAACCGGGCUCCCCGGGCUGGGAGGCCCCGAGCCGAGGGCGCCACCUGUGGGAUCACGCCCCUCUAGCCGUGUGCUCAGGGCAUGACAUGAGGGUAGGCAGCCUUGGCCGGGUUGCCACUAGGAUUCAGACCCGGUCUCGCUGACAUCAGAGAUUGCCGGACCCUGAUACCCUGGGUGGGACUUCCGCAUCCUGGGUUUUCCCAUCGCUAGGAAUGUUUUACUGGUAACAAUAGUUGAGUUGAGAAGAUCCAUGCUCAUCCUGCGCGUUUCAGCACCAUUCGGCUGCUAGGUGACUUACCAAGCAUUGCCUGGGAGAGUCGUCUAUCAUUUUAAGUAAACGCCUUGGGAAAAGAAGUACCAUUCAUUAUCUAUAAUUUAUAUACCAUAUCUUAAUUAAAAUGCAAAGAAGAUAUGCCUUAAGAGUGGAGACCAGAGCAUUAGGGGCUGCGCAAAUACUUCUUGGCUUUUUUCACUGUGCACUGGGGAUUCUCUGUGAAUGUUUGUUUAUCAGAGAGGCGGGCUUACAACGUGUUGGUUACAUCCCUACAUUUGUUAUGAUAAUUUACGCAUUUUGGUCAGCACCAUAUUACAUCACCUCGGGGGCCAUCAGCGUUGCAGCACAGAGGAAGGGUUCACAAUAUCAGAAACACAGGAUCCACCGCGAAAAUGCCAGGCUUAUAGCAUCUACUGGAGGUGAAAGACCAAGCCUAAAAAACAAAUAGGAUCUGAGGAAGUUUCCGAGAGCCAGAAACAGAAAGCACAGAGUGUGUUUCUGGCAUUGUUAUGAAUAUCUUAAGUGCCUGCUUUGCUGUACUUGGUGCAGUUGCCUUAAUCAUUGCGUGUGCAAGUUUUCAGUCAGAAGAAGAUUACACUUGGACACAGUUGGCUGGUACUAUGCUUUUACACUAUUUACUCUUCAUUGCUGUCUCAGAACUGAUCAUUGCAAGUAUAACUAUCCACUGGAUUGUGCAAGCAUUGCAGUAUCAAGAAUACGGCGAUGAGAGUUCCUCACUAUCAGAAUUCUCCAUCUCUUCAUAAUUUGCAAAGAACCGGUGUGACUCUAGUCAAGAGCAAAAGAUGAAUCGUGAAUUAGUGAAGAACUCCAUAAUUUUUUUCAAGAGGCCUGAUGGAGAAUGCAUUUUAAUGAAGUCCUUUCUAGUACUCCUUUUUCCUACUUCUUCAAUAAAGGAUGCAAUUUGAUCACAAG
ensembl:lncRNA